rnacentral:sRNA from 1 species
CCCUAGCCCUGAUAGUAGUGGAAAUCCUUGUGGGCCGGGGUUCGGCCCACAAGAUUGGAACGCAUAGCAGGAAAUAGC